rnacentral:lncRNA from 1 species
GGGCCAUAUAAUCUCCAUGGAAACGAUACUUUCAAAUGCCAAUACAUUUGCAUACCAAAUAUCAUUGACUUAACAUUAGCAGUUCAUCUUAAACUGAUCUUAUCACAAACUAAUACAUGUAAACAAAGCAAAAGUUUCAAAGUCAAUAGACCAUGACUGAGGGGGCGGGGCCAAAUAUUGUCCAUGGAAAUGAGAUGUGCUAAUGCUUAUACAACUGAACACCAAUUAACAUUGGCCUACCACUAAUGGUUCCCCUUGAACUGACCUAAUCACAACUAAUACAUGUUAACUUAGCAAAAUUUUUAAAAUCUAUAGACCAUGACUAAGGAGGCGGAGCCAAAUAAUCUCCAUGGAAAUGAGAUAUGCCAAUGCUUAUACAACUGCAUACCAAAUAUCAUUGACCUACCACUAGUGGUUCCCUAUAAAUUGACCUAAUCACAAACUAAAACAUGUAAACUAUGAAAAGUUUCAAAGUCAAUAUACCUUGACUGAGGGGGCAGGCCAAAUAAUCUCCAUGGUAAUGAGAUGUGCCAAUGCUAA